CGAUGAUUCGUUCAAAUGGAUAGGACGCUAGACUACGAAUCUAGUAAUAGAGGUUCAAGUCCUCUAUCGUCGG
rnacentral:tRNA from 2 species